GAAUAGACACAUGAUGAUAACUUAAUAUUGAACUCUCUCUCUGAUUCCAUGAUGGAAAAUCCAAGGUCUGAUCUGUUC
rnacentral:snoRNA from 1 species